rnacentral:rRNA from 1 species
CGAGUCCGAGUCUCCACGGAGACGAAGUGGCGGUCAUCCAGCUUCCUAGAAAAGCUCUAACCACGUUAAUCUUUAGUUGCCUGUACCCGAAACCGACACAGGUAGGGGGGUAGAGAAUACCAAGGGGCGCGAGAUAACUCUCUCUAAGGAACUCGGCAAAAUGACCCCGUAACUUCGGGAGAAGGGGUACCACUGAGAAGUGGUCGCAGUGAAGAGGCCCAGGCGACUGUUUACCAAAAACACAGGUCUCCGCCAAGUCGCAAGACGAAGUAUGGGGGCUGACGCCUGCCCAGUGCCGGAAGGUUAAGGAAGUGGGUUAGGGAUUCGUCCCGAAGCUGACGACUGAAGCCCCGGUGAACGGCGGCCGUAACUAUAACGGUCCUAAGGUAGCGAAAUUCCUUGGCGGGUAAGUUCCGACCCGCACGAAAGGCGUAACGAUCUGGGCGCUGUCUCGGAGAGAGGCUCGGCGAAAUAGGAAUGUCUGUGAAGAUACGGACUACCUGCACCUGGACAGAAAGACCCUAUGAAGCUUUACUGUAGCUUGGAAUUGGGUUCGGGCUUGGUUUGCGCAGGAUAGGUGGGAGGCGAAGAAGAUUUGCUUGUGGGUGAAUCUGAGCCAACGGUGAGAUACCACUCUAACCAGGCUAGAAUUCUAACUUCAACCCGUCAACCGGGGGAAGGACAGUUUCAGGUGGGCAGUUUGACUGGGGCGGUCGCCUCCUAAAAGAUAACGGAGGCGCACAAAGGUUCCCUCAGGCUGGUUGGAAAUCAGCCAACGAGUGCAAAGGCAGAAGGGAGCUUGACUGCGAGACCUACAAGUCAAGCAGGGUGGAAACACGGUCUUAGUGAUCCGACGGCACCGAGUGGAAGGGCCGUCGCUCAACGGAUAAAAGUUACUCUAAGGAUAACAGGCUGAUCUCCCCCAAGAGUUCACAUCGACGGGGAGGUUUGGCACCUCGAUGUCGGCUCAUCGCAACCUGGGGCGGAAGUACGUCCCAAGGGUUGGGCUGUUCGCCCAUUAAAGCGGUACGUGAGCUGGGUUCAGAACGUCGUGAGACAGUUCGGUCCAUAUCCGGUGUAGGCGCAAGAACAUUGAGAGGAGUCUUCCUAGUACGAGAGGACCGGGAAGAACGCACCGCUGGUGUACCUGUUAUCGUGCCAACGGUAAACGCAGGGUAGCCAAGUGCGGAGUGGAUAACCGCUGAAAGCAUCUAAGUGGGAAGCCCACCUCAAGAUGAGUGUUCUCAUGGAGUAAUCCAGUAAGGUCACGGGAAGACGACCCGUUGAUAGGCGGUAGGUGGAAGUUCAGCAAUGGAUGAAGCCGAGCCGUACUAACAGACCGAGGGCUUGACC